UACGGGGGGGGCAAGCGUUGUCCGGAUUUAUUGGGCGUAAAGAGCGUGUAGGCGGUCAGAUAGGUCGGCUGUGAAAACUCGAGGCUCAACCUCGAGCUGUCGGCCGAAACCAUCUGGCUAGAGUCCGGAAGAGGAGAAUGGAAUUCCCGGUGUAGCGGUGAAAUGCGCAGAUAUCGGGAAGAACACCCGUGGCGAAGGCGGUUCUCUGGGACGGUACUGACGCUGAGACGCGAAAGCGUGGGGAGCAAACAGG
rnacentral:rRNA from 1 species